GAAAUGCGAUACGUAAUGUGAAUUGCAGAAUUCAGUGAAUCAUCGAGUCUUUGAACGCACAUUGCGCCCCCUGGUAUUCCGGGGGGCAUGCCUGUCCGAGCGUCAUUGCUGCCCUCAAGCACGGCUUGUGUGUUGGGCCCCCGUCCCCCCCAAGGGGACGGGCCCGAAAGGCAGCGGCGGCACCGUGUCCGGUCCUCGAGCGUAUGGGAAGCAACUUUUUUUUGUCACCCGCUCCUGUAGGUCCGGCCGGCGGCCUGCCCAACCCCAACCUUUUACUUUUAACCAGGUUGACCUCGGAUCAGGUAGGGAUACCCGCUGAACUUAA
rnacentral:misc_RNA from 1 species